rnacentral:tRNA from 1 species
CGGAGCGUAGCGCAGCCUGGUAGCGCACCAGUCUGGGGGACUGGGGGCCGUGGGUUCGAAUCCCGCCGCUCCGACGA